rnacentral:rRNA from 1 species
GAUGAACGCUGGCGGCGUGCCUAAUACAUGCAAGUCGAGCGAACAGACGAGGAGCUUGCUCGUCUGACGUUAGCGGCGGACGGGUGAGUCACACGUGUAUAACCUACCUAUAAGACUGGGAUAAUCUCGGGAAACCGGAGCUUAUACCGGAGAAUAUAUUGAACCGCAUGGGUCAUUAGUGAGAUACGGUGUUGCUGUCAGUUAUAGCUGCAUCCGCGCCGCAUUAGCUAGUUGUUACGGUAACGGCUUACCAAGGCUACGAUGCGUAGCCGACCGCAGAGGGGGAUCGGCGACAUUGGAGGUGAGACGGGGACCAUAGUCCUGAGGGAGGCAGCAGUAGGGAAUGUUCCGCAAUGGGCGAGAGCCUGACGGAGCAAGGGGGAGUGAGAGAUGACGGCGUUGGGUGCGGGAAGCCGGGUUACUAGGUGUGAACCACUGUGUCAGGAACUAUGCCGGGCGUGACGGUAAUUGGUAAAAAAGCACCGGCUAACUACGUG